rnacentral:rRNA from 1 species
UACAGAGGUCUCAAGCGUUGUUCGGAUUCAUUGGGCGUAAAGGGUGUGUAGGUGGCGCGCUAAGUCGGGUGUGAAAUUUCGGAGCUUAACUCCGAAACUGCAUUCGAUACUGGCGUGCUUGAGGACUGGAGAGGAGACUGGAAUUCAUGGUGUAGCAGUGAAAUGCGUAGAGAUCGUGAGGAAGACCAGUGGCGAAGGCGGGUCUCUGGACAGUUCCUGACGCUGAGGCGCGAAGGCCAGGGGAGCAAACGGG